rnacentral:rRNA from 1 species
GAUGAACGCUGGCGGCGGGCCUAACACAUGCAAGUCGAGCGAACGCACGGGAAGCUUUCUCCUCUGAUGUUGGCGGCGGGCGGGCGGGUGACACGUGCAUAACCUACCUAUAAUACUGGGAUAACUACGGGGAACAGGAUCUAAUAACGGCUGAUAUUUUGAACCGGACGGUUCAAGAGUGAAACGCAGUCUUGCUGUCUCUUAUAGAUGGAUCCGCGCUGCAUUAGCUACGUGGUAAGGUCACGGCUAAGCAAGGCGACGAUGCAUAGCUGAGCUGAGAGGAUGAUCAGCCACACUGGAACUGAGACACGGUCCAGACUCCUACGGGAGGCAGCAGUGGGGAAUCUUAGACAAUGGGCGAAAGCCUGACGGAGCAAAGCCGCGUGAGUGAUGAAGGGCUUCGGAUCGUAAAUCUCUGUUGUUAUGGAAGAACAUAAGUGUAAGUAACGGUGCACAUUUUGACGGUACCUAAUCAGAAAGCCCCGGCUAACUACGUG